UCUGACGGAGCACGCCGCGUGAGCGAUGAAGGCCUUCGGGUCGUAAAGCUCUGUUGUUAGGGAAGAACAAGUAUCGGAGUAACUGCCGGUACCUUGACGGUACCUAACCAGAAAGCCACGGCUAACUACGUGCCAGCAGCCGCGGUAAUACGUAGGUGGCAAGCGUUGUCCGGAAUUAUUGGGCGUAAAGCGCGCGCAGGUGGUUCCUUAAGUCUGAUGUGAAAGCCCACGGCUCAACCGUGGAGGGUCAUUGGAAACUGGGGAACUUGAGUGCAGAAGAGGAAAGUGGAAUUCCACGUGUAGCGGUGAAAUGCGUAGAGAUGUGGAGGAACACCAGUGGCGAAGGCGACUUUCUGGUCUGUAACUGACACUGAGGCGCGAAAGCGUGGGGAGCGAACAGGAUUAGAUACCCUGGUAGUCCACGCCGUAAACGAUGAGUGCUAAGUGUUAGAGGGUUUCCGCCCUUUAGUGCUGCAGCAAACGCAUUAAGCACUCCGCCUGGG
rnacentral:rRNA from 1 species